GCCUUCGUGGUGUAGUGGUCAGCACGCUCGACGAGUAACCGAGAGGUCCGCGGUUCGAUUCCCGACGAAGGCG
rnacentral:tRNA from 1 species